GGGAGGCUGGCUUGCAGUGGAGGCUCUGUUCCAGCCAUGAAUCACCUCUGGACCUCUUCCUGGCCAAGGCGGGCAGUAACCCUUCUUUAGAAACAUUUCAUAUGCAAAGCAUGCAUCGGCCACAUCCAUGCUAUCUCCUAAAGCAGUCAUUCUGAAACCCAAUCUGGGGACAGUGCAGACUAAAUAAAAUUUCAUUUUGAUUUGGCCUCCCGCUGCGAACGGGACUGCUUUGUCUCAGCCGACAGAACCAGCAAGCCAGAAAGUGUUUCAAGAAUAUCCUGGAGGCAGAAGCGUCUUAAAUAUGAAAAUCAAAGCAGACACUUCAGAAGGGAGUGCAGCUUCAGCAUGAGUGCUAAGAGCUUCCUGAGGAUUGACCACAGAGAAGACACCACCUAAGACACAGGCAACAACUCUAUUAAACGCGAUCUCUGAGAGACUCGUCUGUAUCCCGGUCAUCCG